rnacentral:rRNA from 1 species
UGGGGAAUAUUGCACAAUGGGCGCAAGCCUGAUGCAGCCAUGCCGCGUGUAUGAAGAAGGCCUUCGGGUUGUAAAGUACUUUCAGCGGGGAGGAAGGGAGUAAAGUUAAUACCUUUGCUCAUUGACGUUACCCGCAGAAGAAGCACCGGCUAACUCCGUGCCAGCAGCCGCGGUAAUACGGAGGGUGCAAGCGUUAAUCGGAAUUACUGGGCGUAAAGCGCACGCAGGCGGUUUGUUAAGUCAGAUGUGAAAUCCCCGGGCUCAACCUGGGAACUGCAUCUAAUACUGGCAAGCUUGAGACUCGUAGAGGGGGGUAGAAUUCCAGGUGUAGCGGUGAAAUGCGUAGAGAUCUGGAGGAAUACCGGUGGCGAAGGCGGCCCCCUGGACGAAGACUGACGCUCAGGUGCGAAAGCGUGGGGAGCAAACAGG